GCGGCGUGCCUAAUACAUGCAAGUCGAGCGAAGAGAUGGGAGCUUGCUCCCUGAUCUUAGCGGCGGACGGGUGAGUAACACGUGGGCAACCUGCCCUGCAGACUGGGAUAACUCCGGGAAACCGGAGCUAAUACCGGGUAAUACAUCGCACCGCAUGGUGCAAUGUUGAAAGUUGGCUUUCGAGCUAACACUGCAGGAUGGGCCCGCGGCGCAUUAGCUAGUUGGUAAGGUAAUGGCUUACCAAGGCGACGAUGCGUAGCCGACCUGAGAGGGUGAUCGGCCACACUGGGACUGAGACACGGCCCAGACUCCUACGGGAGGCAGCAGUAGGGAAUCUUCCGCAAUGGACGAAAGUCUGACGGAGCAACGCCGCGUGAGUGACGAAGGCCUUCGGGUCGUAAAGCUCUGUUGUUAGGGAAGAACAAGUACCGUUCGAAUAGGGCGGUACCUUGACGGUACCUAACCAGAAAGCCACGGCUAACUACGUGCCA
rnacentral:rRNA from 1 species